AUUGAACGCUGGCGGCAGGCCUAACACAUGCAAGUCGAGCGGAUGAGAAGAGCUUGCUCUUCGAUUCAGCGGCGGACGGGUGAGUAAUGCCUAGGAAUCUGCCUGGUAGUGGGGGACAACGUCUCGAAAGGGACGCUAAUACCGCAUACGCCCUACGGGAGAAAGCAGGGGACCUUCGGGCCUUGCGCUAUCAGAUGAGCCUAGGUCGGAUUAGCUUGUUGGUGAGGUAAUGGCUCACCAAGGCGACGAUCCGUAACUGGUCUGAGAGGAUGAUCAGUCACACUGGAGCUGAGACACGGUCCAGACUCCUACGGGAGGCAGCAGUGGGGAAUAUUGGACAAUGGGCGAAAGCCUGAUCCAGCCAUGCCGCGUGUGUGAAGAAGGUCUUCGGAUUGUAAAGCACUUUAAGUUGGGAGGAAGGGCAGUCAGCGAAUACCUGGUUGUUUUGACGUUACCGACAGAAUAAGCACCGGCUAACUCUGUGCCAGCCGCCGCCGUAAGAC
rnacentral:rRNA from 1 species